CCUUGAUUUUCAGAGCCUAUUUUCUUACCUACAAAAUAGAGGUAAUUGUGUCUACCUCACAAGAUUAUUUGGAAGACUAAAUUAAAUGUAGAGGCAAUACACAGCUAUGGAGUAUUCCAGUGUUUGAAACCCACCUCUAACUUAUUUAGCUACAUGGUCUUGACAACCUCCCUAUGCUCUCUUUUCCUGAUCUGUAGCAAUCCCAUAGGAUUAAAUUAUUCCAGGAUUAAAUUAUCUAUGCAAAGUUCAUAGUCUAAUGCCUGGCACUUAAUAAGCACUCAAACGAUUGUGUUUCUAUUUUCCAUAUUCUUCUCACUCAGCAUAUUGGUACCUCUUACAUGACUUCCCUCUCAUUUUAUCAGAUGUGAUGACAGAAGCUCACCACAAAUAUGAUCACUCUGAGGCCACAGGAUCCUCAAGCUGGGAUUUCCAGAAUUCUUUCAGAAGAGAGAAGCUGGAACAAAAAUCCCCAGAUUCUAAGACACUACCGGAAGAUUCACCUGGGGUGAGACAGAAGGUCUAUGAGUGCCAAGAAUGUGGAAAGUCCUUCAGGCAAAAAGGUAGUCUAACAUUACAUGAGAGAAUUCACACUGGUCAGAAGCCCUUUGAGUGUACCCAUUGUGGAAAAAGCUUCAGGGCCAAAGGCAAUCUUGUUACACAUCAGCGAAUACACACGGGAGAGAAGCCUUAUCAGUGCAAGGAGUGUGGGAAAAGCUUUAGUCAGCGUGGUAGUCUGGCCGUCCAUGAGAGACUCCACACUGGACAGAAACCCUAUGAGUGUGCCAUUUGUCAAAGAAGCUUCAGGAAUCAAAGUAACCUUGCUGUUCACCGAAGAGUUCACAGUGGUGAGAAGCCCUAUAGAUGUGAUCAGUGUGGAAAAGCUUUCAGUCAGAAAGGAAGCUUAAUUGUUCACAUUAGAGUCCACACAGGUCUAAAACCCUAUGCCUGUACCCAGUGCAGGAAGAGUUUCCACACCAGGGGGAAUUGUAUUCUGCAUGGCAAAAUCCACACAGGAGAGACACCCUAUCUGUGUGGUCAAUGUGGAAAAAGCUUCACUCAGAGAGGAAGUCUGGCUGUGCACCAGAGAAGCUGCUCACAAAGGCUCACCCUUUGACCAUUCUAUUCAAAGGAAGUUUUAUUUCUGAAUUAAGGGUACAAAACCCUCUGUUACUGAGCUGCAUAUCCAAUUCUAUGGAAUGAAUGGAGAACAUUCCAGGAAAACCAGUAGGUUAAACAAACUUUUUUCCUUAUCCUCAAAUGAGUAUGAAAAAUAAAUGUCUUGUUUAUCAUUAUCAUGCAUUUUUCAUAAUUUGUCAUGAAUUUUUCAUAUUUUGACUUAAUUUCCCAGGGUACCCUCAUUAAUCUAGAGUCAUACUAGAGAUUGAGUAUAGUAGAUACAGAUUUUAAAUUUGUAUUUGACACCAUCGGCCUUUAAAAAUAUCAGCCCCUAAUCAACCCCAAUGCUGGCAGCUGGAAGUGCACCCCAAGGUCAUUUUCUU
rnacentral:lncRNA from 1 species